GAUGAACGCUGGCGGCGUGCCUAAAACAUGCAAGUCGUGCGGCAGCAUGCCCUUCGGGGUGAUGGCGAGCGGCGGACGGCUGAGUAACGCGUGGGAACGUGCCCCAAAGUGAGGGAUAACUGCCCGAAAGGGUGGCUAAUACCGCAUAUGGUCUCCGGAUUAAAGCUUCGGCGCUUUGGGAGCGGCCCGCGUAAGAUUAGAUAGUUGGUGGGGUAAGAGCUUACCAAGGCGACGAUCAGUAGCUGGUCUGAGAGGAUGAUCAGCCACACUGGAACUGAGACACGGUCCAGACUCCUACGAGAGGCAGCAGUUGGGAAUAUUGGACAAUGGGGGAAACCCUGAUCCAGCCAUGCCGCGUGUGUGAUGAAGGCCUUAGGGUUGUAAAGCACUUUCGGCUGUGAAGAUAAUGACAGUAGCAGAAGAAGAAGCUCCGGCUAAAUUCGUGCCAGCCGCCGCAGUAA
rnacentral:rRNA from 1 species